GCUCGCGUAGCUCAGCUGGUUAGAGCAUCGCACCUAUGAUGUUACCUAUGGCUACUUACGAAACUGUAAAGAAGAUCUGUUUCAAUGCGAGGGUCUGAGUUCAAUCCUCAGCGCGAGUA